GUGAAAAAGAUUUCUUUAGAAAGGAAGGUUUUUCACUGAAUGCCCCCAUUAGAUGACCCAAUCAGGUCCUGGCAGAUGGAUAUCACAGGCACACUGCUUAUUCAUAGCAAGCGGCAGCUUUUACUACUCUCUUUCCCUCACCCCCAUCCCUCCCUGUUCCCUCAAGCCUUUCAUUCAUUUUAAGACUAAUUUGCUUUGUUACUGUUUUCUUCUUUUUCUUCCUCCUCGUCUCCCCCUGAAGACUGUGAUUCGUAUUGCAAGGCAUCCAAAGGAAAGCUGAAGAUCAACAUGAAGAAAUAUUGCAAGAAAGACUAUGCUGUCCAGAUCCACAUCCUGAAAGCUGACAAGGCAGGAGAAUGGUGGAAGUUCACCGUCAAUAUAAUCUCUGUGUACAAACAAGGGACAAACCGGAUACGGCGUGGGGAUCAGAUCCUCUGGAUACGCUCCAAGGACAUUGCCUGCAAAUGCCCCAAAAUCAAACCCAUGAAGAAAUACUUGCUGCUGGGCCACGACGAGGACUCUCCUGACCAGAACGGCAUCGUAGCAGACAAAAGCAGCCUUGUGAUACAGUGGAGGGACACGUGGGCGAGGAGGCUGAGGAAGUUCCAACAACGAGAAAAGAAGGGGAAGUGCAAGAAAGUCUAGAAGGUGUUAUAGAAACGUGAAGAGAGACUGCACAUGCUGCUUGGGGGAAGUCUAUCAAUCAUCACUGGCCGCCUUAUUAAGGAGCCCCAGAAUUCUACAGAAGAGAAAUUGAAAACCAUGACUGUAUGUGAAUGAAAGUUCUUUCUUCGAAGUUCUACAACUUUGUUACUCCAGCAACAGGUGGAGAAGUAUUGCAUGGAAGGAGCUUGAUGUAAUUAUUUUCAAUUUUUGCAAAAACAAAACGAACAAAAAUUUCAAAAGGCACUCAAUAGGACCAGUUUCUACAGUGCAAAUCCAAACCAGAACCAGGAUGUGACAGAAAGUAUAGCCACUGCAACAGGCAGCAAAAUGCCCUAAAUUGCCCAUAUUUUUGCAGCAAACUGAGAUUUAUGACCAAGACCGGAGACCAGUGGCAUGGCUACCAUGGGGCAGGGUGGGGACAAAUGCCCUGGGCAGCCCCCUGUUCAGUCACUUGGGGGCAGAAAAUCACCUCCCACACCCCUUCCCCCUCGGCCAGGCCAGGUCCGGCUCCGUCAGGCCGCUCCUUCAGCAGAGGCUGAAGGAUAGGGUGCCCUUUGGCCUGGCCCUGCCAGGCUACCCAUGACCGCUGCUGGCUCAGGUGUGGUGCAGGGGGGCGUAGCUACCCGGGGGGGGGCACAGUGGACACCAUUUUGCCCUGGGGCACCAAUUUCCCCCGCUAUGCCUCUGCUGGAGACAUCUGAAGUUAGUCCAUGAGGUAACAUGGUUACCUUGUGAUAAAGGGAAAAAGAAGCCAAAAUAUAGUACUCCAGAAGCAGUACUGAAUUCAAAAAUUGGUGGUUGUAUCUUGGUAGGAUUUUGGGCCAGUUAAAAACUGCCCCCCACCCCCGCCUGUGUUUUGUGACAUUUCAAAUGUUGUCUGCCAACAUAACCCUCCUACACCCGCCCCCCCAAUGGCUAUCAAAAGGCACUAUCAGCCUUUCAGAUAGUUGUUUCCCAAGUGAGAGAUUCACUUUAGUAUCUAACACUUCCACCUCGGGGGCAUUGCCCAGAGAAAAUUAGGCAAGAAAUUAACCCUGUAACCUUUGAGCACCUUAAAGGGGGGGGGGGGGAAUCUAGUAGAGUUUAUUAGUUUGUUCCUAAACUGCCCACACCAACAAUUGUGCCAGGGAGCUAAACCAGUAAGAACCAAUAUGGAGGCAGAAGAUCUUUGCUGUUUCAACACAGCACUGAUUUCUACCCUCUUGAUAAGAAGAGAAACAAAUGAAGAGAGUGGAUGACCUGAAGAAUUAGUUUUGUUGAAACUUAAGACAUCUGCUUCAUUAUAAUCCCCAUUGUGCCAAUCAGAAUCUGUGGAGGAAUUUUCAGUGUCCUAGAAGAAUCACUCAGUAAGAUCUUGACGUAAGAGUUGUAAAAAUCUUCAGCAAAAAAGGAUACUUAUUCAGGGUUAACAUAUAUAAUAUUUCUAUGGAAUCAAGCAUCCACACUGAUUCUGAAUUAAGAGUGAUGACUGGCAUAACCAACUGUGGUGAGGCAGCUACACCUCUUUGGAACAUUGUAGUCACUAAAGCACUUGGCUCUAGAGUUGAGCCAAAACCAUGAGCUCAGUUUCAUUUUCACUGUUUUUACUAUUUUUGGGCUGUCAAGUAUCCUUUCAAAAUUUCAUCUAUUUUUUGUCAAAAUCUUGAAUACUAAUGUUAGUAGAGCAGCACAAUUAAUGGCUAAUUUCUAAGGCUUAGCAGCCUUUGAGGAAAUCUAAAAGGCACAACUGUUACCAGUCAAAUGUGCUACAAAAAGAGCAUAAAAGAAGAAUCUCUGCUUAACCUGUUUGUAAGUUGCUAACACAAGAUCAAGAACUGCACAGCUGGCUUACUCUUAGGGUUUGGGAGAUUCCCUAAACAGUUAUUUUCAAGUCCAGCAGCACUUUAGAGACCAAGGCCCCUUCUGCACACGCAAAAUAAUGCGUUUUCAAACCACUUUCACAACUGUUUGCAAGUGGAUUUUGCCAUUCCGCACAGCUUCAAAGAGCACUGAAAGCAGUUUGAAAGUGCAUUAUUCUGCAUGUGUGGAAUGAGCCCAAGAUUUUCAAGGAAUGGGGUUUUUGAGAGUCAGAGCUCCCUCCAUCAGAUACAAGUUGAAAUGGAGAUCUCAGAAUCCUUAUAUCCCAGUCAGAAGGGAAGGGAGGUGCUGUGAAGGAGGAACUCAGAAUGCACAGGUACAGUGCACAUUGUAAUCAGUCUGACUAGAGCAGAGGGGAGAUUCUGGGAGGGAACAAAAUUAACACCGUGGUCUAGGCCCAGAGGUCAUGCCAUUUCUGGGGUUUUGAAAUUCAUUCUUUGGAAGAUUUUGUAGAAUUGAUGCCUCGAGCCUUAGGCAUCAAACAGAGAAACGCUUCAAGCUUUUGUAUAAUUUGCUGAACUAAAAGCUUUCUAAUCCUUUAAAAUUUAAUUCAAAAAUUAAAACAUGUGGAUUUCAGUUCUAUUUGGUUCUCCCUGACAUAAACUUCUAUUUGGGUUUCCCGGGAAAUGAGAUGCUUUGGCUCCCAAAAUCCUGUUCUCAAUCCAAAUCCUGUGCCGCAUUGCUUUCCCUUGCUUUCCCUUCCCUUUGCUCUCAAAUACAGCUUCCUUACUGCGAGCACCAGACACAGUUUCAGAUCUGUGUGAGCAUUCAGGAAGCAUUUUCCAUUUUUAGUUUUUGGAGUUGGUAUCAAUAACUACUAUCUAACCACUAAAACAGAGUUUACAGAACAAGUACUUUCAUGGUGCCCAAUUCCUUUUAUCAGAGCUGGAAUAUGGCCAGUCCUUCAUAAUGGUCUGGACUAAUUUUUUUAAUACCUGUGAAUGGGAGCAGGACACCAUACAAGAAAUGGAAAAUAAUUACACAGAAAAUGAAGAAUAUGGGAGAGUUAAUACAGAAUGUAAGAUAGGUGAGAGUUCAAAAACUGUAUAUUAACCAGAAAUAUAAUAUAGAUUAUUUUUAAACAACCCUUCUCCCACUAGAAUAGUGAAAACAAACAUACCUUUUAUUUGUAUUUUAUCCACCUUAACAGGCUCAAGGGCUUAUUUGGCGCAUCCAACAUCUAAUAACUAUAUUUCCUUAGGUACAUUGCAAUGGGUACACAUAAACAGACGAUUUCAGCUGUUAUCAGCAAAGCAGAAUUACACAAAAUUACAUCAUUCUAGGGCUAUCUUAUUUCUGACAACUCUUCUUUCUUUCUCAAUAAGGGAAAUGUCCUAAGAUGUCACUUACUUACUUUGGGACACUCCUUAGAAAAGCCUCAUUCAGUGCACUAGGAAAUAUAUUUGGGAUUGGGUGAAUGACCAUGUCAUACAUUUAGAGUCAGAUGUUUUUACAUCUGAAGACUUGUAGUAGUAAGUCAACUUGGCCAAGAGGAAAGGCCAAUCAAGCCUUUCAUGUUGAUCUCAUCCCAAAGUAUGGGACUACAAUUGGGCAAGAUCAGUCUAGCAAAGAAGAUGGGUGAGGAAGUAGGGUGACUGGUUGUUUUCCAGGCUUUCACUAAUAAAACCCCCAUACCCUUAGAUCUAUCUAAAGCAUCUGUUUUUUCUAGUUGAGAAAGCACAGAGACCAAAAGACUGUAUUUGUCAGUGUCACAUCAGAUCUGUUCCUUGGAACUGUUUUACAAGUGUCACAUAACAAUGGAUAGUCAACAGUAGAAGGCAAAAAGCUGAAACUGUCUUCAAAAACACAAAUAGAACUUGUAACAAGGUAAAAGCACUAAACAAAAAUUCUGGAAAACACCUGAAAAGCCCAAACAAUUACAGUUCAUGAACAGCUCUGAACAAGAACUCUUCCACCUUCCUCAUUUGUUUUGGCUGCUUUAUUUUAUGUUCAUUCCUCUAAUCACUUUUGCCUUUUCCUGUUACAUAAACCUGUUGGAGAAACCUGGAUUUUGAUUAUUCCUGUUAAUAUCAUGAAUUGUAAAUGUUGUUUAGUUAUGACCAUAGCAUAUAGUUUCGGGGCAAUGUUUCUUUUCAAUGCAUACUAAUAUAUUAUGGUUAUACAUAUGAAUAUAUUUAAUGACAUGUGAAAAAAGUUGUGGAUUUUCUUAUUCCCCUCCCCCCCUCCCAUUUCUUUUUAUUUGUUAGAUGGACUGAUAAUUGAACCAAGAGUAUGUAACUGUGCAGAAUCUGAUUGAUAGGACUAAAUCCAACCAUCUGUUGAAUAAACUCUUAUAGACAUCUUCUCAUUA